UUGCCCCACCAGGCGAAGCAUUGUUUAUUUAUUUAAGUCUUUGUAAAACGUUUGCAUUUUCUAUGACUUUAUAGUUAUUGUUCAAGUAUUAAUCUUCCAAUCUUUCAAUAACACAUAAUUCUCAAAAUGUAAUUUCAAAUUUCCCGUCAACAUUUAACAUUUUUUAUCUCAAAAACAUGACCAGCUACAGGAUGACUGACUGUCAUAAAACUCAACCACCGGGCUUACCAUGUUUUCUGGGGGAUACCCUGCAAGCACAAUGCAUGCUAAUAUUUAUUUAUCACAUACCAGAAAAAACAGCUACCUUCUGUUUAUUCAUAUUCAUGGUUGUAUUUUCUGUCUUUGUUUUAGGUUCCAUGUCAAGAAGAGAGAGAACACAUAUCUCGGAGGAAGCGAAGGUCUUCCUCCAGAAAGCCUAUAAAGAAGGGAUGACCAGGGUGGGAUCUCCACUGGUUGGAGCGGCAUCCCAGGCCACUGGCUUGCCACCGUUUGUCAUUGAUAACUGGAUUGGAAACUAUAGAAGAAAAAACCCCAUCUUCUUCUCAACCUAAAAACAAGAAGUUAUACACCAAGGACCUGUCUGGUUACAACCUGUUCUGCAGGGAUCAGUUAAAGAACAAGGACCCCGGCAGGAAAAUUAGGACACCAACUGUGGAAGACAUUUUGAAUGCAAUGUGUGCAAAUGAUGAGCGGAGCGUAACAGAGCCUAUGGGUUUGACGGAAGUGCUGUCAAGAGAACCGACUACAGAUGAUACUACGGAUGUUUGCAACAUCUGCCACUGUCUGUUCAGUGAUGA